UUCCUUUCUCUUCUCUUCUGUCUCUCUUGUUAUCCCUGUGAUUUUCCCCCGUUUCUACUACCACAACCAUUAUCAUCAACAUCAAAACCGUCAUCGAGAAAGAAAGUAUCUUAACCUGCGAGCGUGGUAUGAUUUCACCAAGCUAACAACAGAGAUUUUGAAUCUCUACAAGGGUGGGAUGAAGCACUCAACAUAAUCUGUAGGUGGUCAUUUGAAACAGUUCUUUCAUCCCAAAAUGCAGAAGCAUUAUUUAAAUCGAUAGAAGACUUGCCAGUUUUGGUCAUCGCUAAUGCCGAGGAUUCCCUUGUCUCUCUAAAUGCCAGAACCUCGAUGGAUCUGUUGUUGGAACCUACGAUGUGAAAAUUAAGACCGGAUAUCCAUUCAGAACAAUCAAACUCAAGGAUGAGCUCGCUCAUGGAGACAACAAUGGUCUUGACAUUCCAGUCAGGCUUUUGGAACCUAUCAAGAAGCAAUCCCAUUCAAUUAGUUAUGAUAAUUUCUGUCAGUUAGCUAGUAUGAUUGCUGCUGAAGUUACUGGUGGGUGUGAUGUCCGUUUCCACCCUGGCGGGAGGUUAGUGAUGCCAGCUAAGAAAAUUUCUGUUAUUUACACCCUCCUAGUUGUAGUUGUAGUUUUUUUUUUCCUUUUUGUCAUUCGUUCCUUUUUCGUACUUAUAUUGUGUAAAUUCUAUCUUGUAGGAUUUUUUACACAAAGGAUUCAUCUUGGUUUUAAUAGUGUUUUCAAGUUAUUUAUGUUGGAUAAGAAACUAUGCUUUCUUCUCUGAGAGUUGAGUCGGUUUAUUUGUUCUUUAACAUUUAAAACAUGUCAAUAUGCAUUUUGAGGUUGCUGCAACUAUGGAUUACUUCCCGAACACUUGGGAUUUUUUUAAUUAUAAAUCAGACCAAAAGCUUGAAUGUCCAGGGUGUAUCGCAGUAUCCAAAUGUUGAAUUUAGAAUUUAGUUUCUUCUCUGGUUUCUUUUUAUCUUUAUUCCUUCAAAUACUGUAUCUCUUGUGCUUUUUUUUUUUUUUUUUUGCUAAGUCAAAAAAUAAUAAUAAUUUAAAAGUAAUAAUAUACGUAGAGGGGGUUCGAACUACCGUUCCCAUGGUCACAAGCUUGAGCUGAUUCCAUUGAGCUACAGGCCGAUUUACUGUAUCUCUUGUGCAUUCAAGAGUUGCACGCUGUAUUUUCUUCCUAGUUAUUUGGUAUAUAUUUCAGGCGGUAAAGCAUCUCCUUAGAUUGGACGCGGAUACCCCUAUACUCAUCGUUGUUUGAUUUGGUUUUUUCAUAAAGUGGAAAGUAUGCCAGCUCCAAUGACUGAUUCAGAAACGUGCUACUCUGAGUUGCAUGAGAACUCUCUCACUGAAGCAAACACAAAGAUUUCUUGAUGCAUAGAGCUGCAGCUACAGAAAUGUCAAGCAAGAAGUCUGAAGUCAUCAAACUAAUUGAAGAUUCUAGAAUCAGCAAACAGAGCUAUUUGAAGAUUCACUUUCUUGUAGAGUUCGAGCUAAGCGUGGAUUUGAAAAACAUCCUCGUAGUAUUGCAGAAAGAGUUGGAAGAACAAGAUUCAGUGAUCUGAUAAGGAAACAUCAAGAGCUUGUACCAAAAAUGGAUAAGGUAUAAACUUCAAGAGUUUGGAUUUGGUGUGUUGUUAUUGAACUUAUUAGCACUUGUAUUGGUGUCAAUUCGAUAUUCAAGUAUUUUUUUAUCAUUCUUGAACUGAAUUUAUGAAUAGAAUGAAUAUUCGGUGGAA